UACGAAGGGGGCUAGCGUUGCUCGGAAUCACUGGGCGUAAAGCGCACGUAGGCGGCUUUCUAAGUCAGGGGUGAAAUCCUGGAGCUCAACUCCAGAACUGCCUUUGAUACUGGAAAGCUUGAGUUCGGGAGAGGUGAGUGGAACUGCGAGUGUAGAGGUGAAAUUCGUAGAUAUUCGGAAGAACACCAGUGGCGAAGGCGGCCAACUGGUCCGGUACUGACGCUGAGGUGCGAAAGCGUGGGGAGCAAACAGG
rnacentral:rRNA from 1 species